rnacentral:tRNA from 1 species
GGAGGAUUCGCCUAGAGGCCUAUGGCGCACGCUUGGAAAGCGUGUUGGGGUUUUGCCCCUCGCGGGUUCGAAUCCCGCAUCCUCCG